rnacentral:lncRNA from 1 species
CGCUGCAAAAGGCAAGUGGUGAGGAAUCAAUCGCAGGCUUUAUGCCAUCAAAGGGGAUGAUGGGGUUGGGGUUUGCUUUUUUUUUUUUUUUAAAUUCCCUGCCCCAAACUGAAUUUUUCCUGCUCCUUACCCCUGUCCUAUUAAUAAUCCCAUGCAGACGAUUGCAGACCGAGGUAAACCUAUCAUUUGUAUGCGCCAGAAGAUUAAUUUCCCCCAUGUACCAACUCAACGGCAUAGUUAUCUCUUUAACAGGGAAAACAGUUUGGCUCCAUUGUCGGGUUGCCAAGACCGCCUUUUGAGAAAGGGAGCCCGGCUAGCCUCUGAUCAAACUCAAAGGCACGCUCUUCAGGCUCAGGGUCUUCAACCCUUUCCUGUGUUGGUCCUGCGCAGUAGAAGUAAGGAGCCUGGCAAGAAAGCAGUACGCAGGAGCCAUCACCACCUUCUGUUUCCUCCAAAGUCCCACUUCUAAGUUUCCAUGUCUGUGGCCAUCCAGCUGCCUGGUGUGGCUGAUCCUCAGCUGGACCUAAGCAGCUCAUGUCAGUGGAGCUGUGCUCAGGUAAAAGCACCAGAGGUAUCUUGCUCUUUUGACCUUUAGGUAAGGAAAAUAUGUUUAAAAAGUACAGCUUUGAUUAUCCACAUCACUACUGACACGCUCAAGUCAUUUCCCCUUGUGAAAUAUCUCGAGACAAGGACACAGAGCUAUUUUAAGCCAGCCUUUCACUGCCAGUUAGUGGACUAUCCAGGCUUUGAUUUUUUCUGGCCAAAGCACAGGUUUUCUCAAGCAGGUAAAUUACAAGGGAGCCCUGUGCCUUUUUUCCUAUAAGUAAAACCUCAGACUGUCACCUGAAUCCAGUUUUUGCACUUGCUGCCUCUGUUGCCCCAUUACAAAUACUUGCAUGUACUAAUAUCCUAGGACCUAUCCUCUAGGACCGGAUCAGUACCGUCCAGCUGCUACAGCAAACCUUUUCCUUGGGCAGGGGUGCAGGUGAGAAUGCUGCUGUAUAUUGUAGCAUUUGCACGCGUGCUGAAAAACAGGAAUUACAGUAAAAUGUUAAGUGACAGAAGAAUAAGGCAUACCUCCAAAUCUCACUGAGAAGUUCCGGAGGGUCAUACCAGGAGAGGGACACCGCGACACAGCACAGACAACUGAAAAGGAAGAAUGAGAGAGGCUUUGCCUGCAGUUGGAGAGCUACGUUGUUCCAACACGUCUCCUGAGGAAGGAACUCUGUCCUCAGGGACAGGAGCCCCAGCCUGGGGGCUCCUUCCCACCCACACCCUGGGACAACACAAUGCGUAUUUGGUGCUUGCUGCCCCAGGUCAGUGCAGGCAGAUGCUGGCCUGUGCUUUGGAGCCAGAUGUGUCCGCAGAAGGACAAAAGAUAAGGAACAGCCCCGCUGAGCACUGGAACUUUCAUUGACUCUGACACUUCGGUCCAGGGCAAACACAGGCAAUCAGUAGGAGAGGGGAGA